GGCGGCGUGCCUAAUACAUGCAAGUCGAGCGGAUCUUCAUUAGCUUGCUUUUGAAGAUCAGCGGCGGACGGGUGAGUAACACGUGGGCAACCUGCCUGUAAGACUGGGAUAACUUCGGGAAACCGGAGCUAAUACCGGAUAAUCCUUUCCCUCACAUGAGGGAAAGCUGAAAGACGGUUUCGGCUGUCACUUACAGAUGGGCCCGCGGCGCAUUAGCUAGUUGGUGAGGUAACGGCUCACCAAGGCAACGAUGCGUAGCCGACCUGAGAGGGUGAUCGGCCACACUGGGACUGAGACACGGCCCAGACUCCUACGGGAGGCAGCAGUAGGGAAUCUUCCGCAAUGGACGAAAGUCUGACGGAGCAACGCCGCGUGAACGAUGAAGGCUUUCGGGUCGUAAAGUUCUGUUGUUAGGGAAGAACAAGUACCGGAGUAACUGCCGGUACCUUGACGGUACCUAACCAGAAAGCCACGGCUAACUACGUGCCAGCAGCCGCGGUAAUACGUAGGUGGCAAGCGUUGUCCGGAAUUAUUGGGCGUAAAGCGCGCGCAGGCGGUUCCUUAAGUCUGAUGUGAAAGCCCCCGGCUCAACCGGGGAGGGUCAUUGGAAAACUGGGGAANCUUGAGUGCAGAAGAGAGAGCGAAUUCCCC
rnacentral:rRNA from 1 species